GCAUUAAUGCUAAUCGUGAUGGGAGUUUUUGUCUCUGGCUGACUCCUACAUGUUGGCAUUGAAAA
rnacentral:pre_miRNA from 1 species